ensembl:snoRNA
AUCCUUUUGCAGUUCAUAAAUGAAGACUGGGUGUUGACAUGUGUGUGUGAGAUGUCCUUCCCUCCAAUUUUGUUACAGUGUCAGCACAUUACUCCUCUGAUG